rnacentral:rRNA from 1 species
CCCUUAGAUGUCCUGGGCCGCACGCGCGCUACACUGAGUGUCUGAGAUACGAGUCUGCCUGGUCCGGCAAGGUCUAGGUAAUCGCUAAAAGACACAUCAUGCUUGGGAUAGAUUAUUGCAAAUAUUAAUCUUGAACGAGGAAUUCCUAGUAAGCGCAAGUCAACAGCUUGCGUUGAUUACGUCCCUGCCCUUUGUACACACCGCCCGUCGCUACUACUGAUUGAAUGUUCCGGUGAGCUCUUCGGACUGCGCGGUCUGCAGUUUCUGCGUUCCGUGCGGAAAGUUGCGCAAACCUUAACAUUUAGAGGAAGGAGAAGUCGUAACA